rnacentral:rRNA from 1 species
CCCUUAGAUGUCCGGGGCCGCACGCGCGCUACACUGAAGGAAUCAGCGUGGCUUUCUCCCUGACCCGAAAGGGUUGGGAAACCCGUUGAAUCUCCUUCGUGAUAGGGAUUGGGGCUUGAAAUUGUUCCCCAUGAACGAGGAAUUCCCAGUAAGCGCGAGUCAUAAGCUCGCGUUGAUUACGUCCCUGCCCUUUGUACACACCGCCCGUCGCUCCUACCGAUUGAAUGGUUUAGUGAGAUCUUCGGAUUGGCGCCACUGCGGCUCAGCAAUGGGCUCGGUGGAUGCCGAAAAGUUGAUCAAACUUGAUCAUUUAGAGGAAGUAAAAGUCGUAACA